rnacentral:rRNA from 1 species
UGCCUAAUACAUGCAAGUCGAGCGGACCGAGCGGAAGCUUGCUUCCGCUUGGUUAGCGGCGGACGGGUGAGUAACACGUGGGUAACCUGCCCGUAAGACCGGGAUAACUCCGGGAAACCGGAGCUAAUACCGGAUAACACCGAAGACCGCAUGGUCUUCGGUUGAAAGGCGGCUUUGGCUGUCACUUACGGAUGGGCCCGCGGCGCAUUAGCUAGUUGGUGAGGUAACGGCUCACCGAGGCGACGAUGCGUAGCCGGCCUGAGAGGGUGACCGGCCACACUGGGACUGAGACACGGCCCAGACUCCUACGGGAGGCAGCAGUAGGGAAUCUUCCGCAAUGGACGAAAGUCUGCCGGAGCGACGCCGCGUGAGCGAAGAAGGUCUUCGGAUCGUAAAGCUCUGUUGUUAGGGAAGAAGAA